GACGAACGCUGGCGGCGUGCUUAACACAUGCAAGUCGAACGGAAAGGCCCUGCUUUUGUGGGGUGCUCGAGUGGCGAACGGGUGAGUAACACGUGAUUAACCUGCCCUUGACUUUGGGAUAACUUCAGGAAACUGGGGCUAAUACCGGAUAGGAGCUCCUGCUGCAUGGUGGGGGUUGGAAAGUUUCGGCGGUUGGGGAUGGACUCGCGGCUUAUCAGCUUGUUGGUGGGGUAGUGGCUUACCAAGGCUUUGACGGGUAGCCGGCCUGAGAGGGUGACCGGCCACAUUGGGACUGAGAUACGGCCCAGACUCCUACGUGAGGCAGCAGUGGGGAAUAUUGCACAAUGGGCGGAAGCCUGAUGCAGCAACGCCGCGUGCGGGAUGACGGCCUUCGGGUUGUAAGCCGCUUUCGCCUGUGACGAAGCGUGAGUGACGGUAAUGGGUAAAGAGGCACCGGCUAGCUACGUG
rnacentral:rRNA from 1 species